UACGUAGGGCGCGAGCGUUAUCCGGAAUUAUUGGGCGUAAAGAGCUCGUAGGCGGUUUGUCGCGUCUGCUGUGAAAGCCCGGGGCUCAACCCCGGGUCUGCAGUGGGUACGGGCAGGCUGGAGUGCAGUAGGGGAGACUGGAAUUCCUGGUGUAGCGGUGAAAUGCGCAGAUAUCAGGAGGAACACCGAUGGCGAAGGCAGGUCUCUGGGCUGUAACUGACGCUGAGGAGCGAAAGCAUGGGGAGCGAACAGG
rnacentral:rRNA from 1 species